rnacentral:sRNA from 1 species
UUGACAAUAUUAUCGUGAAGGCAUACUUUCAGGAGUGAGGGUAGAGCGGGGUUUCCCCCGCCCUGGUAGUCUUAGUAAGCCGGGAAGCUUAUGACUAAGAGCACCACGAUGAUGAUCCACUUCAUCAUGACCCUUUCCUUAU